UGGGUUGUGGCUCAGUGGUAGAGUGCUCGCCUCGUAGGUGGAAGUCACUGGGUUCGAUCCUCAGCAACACAU
rnacentral:tRNA from 1 species